rnacentral:rRNA from 1 species
GACGAACGCUGGCGGCGUGCUUAACACAUGCAAGUCGAACGGUGAAGCGCCUUCCUUUUUGGUGGGUGUGGAUGAGUGGCGAACGGGUGAGUAACACGUGAGUAACCUGCCCCCUUCUUCUGGAUAACCGCAUGAAAGUGUGGCUAAUACGGGAUAUUCUGGGUCUGUCGCAUGAUGGGUCUGGGAAAGAUAUUGUUUCGGUGGGGGAUGGGCUCGCGGCCUAUCAGCUUGUUGGUGGGGUGAUGGCCUACCAAGGCGGUGACGGGUAGCCGGCCUGAGAGGGUGGACGGUCACACUGGGACUGAGACACGGCCCAGACUCCGACGGGAGGCAGCAGUGAGGAAUAUGGCACAAUGGGCGCAAGCCUGAUGCAGCGACGCCGCGUGAGUGAUGGAGGCCUGCGGGUUGUGAACCUCUUUCGCCAGUGAAGCAGGCCUGCCUCGUUUGUGGGUGGGUUGACGGUAGCUGGAGAAGAAGCGCCGGCUAACUACGUG